UAUGAGCAGAAGUCUUUUGUGACCGGUGACUAAAUAGAAUGAGAAGCUAUAUAUUUUAGAAGACAAAAACCAUCUUCAGGAUGUGAAUCCCUUAUUUCUUUGUACUGGCUAUAGUACCUUACAUAUUACAUUUUGAAUUCUCUAGUUCAUACUUUACAUAGGGCAUUGAUGGUUGUAGUACCAUUUGCUUCUUUGUAUUUUCUUCAAUUUUGGGAUGUUUCAUUAUAUUUUUUUGACUUUCGCUCAAUCAAAUUACAAUGAUUAUGAACUUGAAUUUUAUUAGCUUACAGGCACAUAAUCAUACAAGCAUCAAUGAGUUAGAGCACUUUGGUUUUGUUAAAGAGUCUCUCAAUAGCAAACCACACAGUAAUUCUAGUUAAAAAUAUUGUUUCAAUAAGACAACUGAAGAAAGAGUCUUGCAAUUAACAUUGCUCCUCAGUCUCAGGCAUUGCAGUUAACUUUCUUCUGUUGGAAAUAACUGAGAAGCAAUCUCCAGAGCUCCCCACAUAGGCGCAUCAUUCUUUUUAGACCCACAAAGAAACAACAAAAUCUCUGUUUUAGCAAAAAAAAAAUCAGGCGAUUCAGAUAAAUCCAUAAUGUUCAAACAUAGAAUGUGUAUGUGACUUACAAGAUAAACGAUAUCAAAGGCCUUACGGUAGCUUUCAAGACUCUUCUCAACGUUAUCAUUCCUGAAAACAAACAAAAAGCUGUGAGAGGAGAUAAAAGAACGGAGCAAAAAAAAUAUACAAAAGAAAACACUCACAGGAAUCCAAUAGAUAUUCGAGUGUCGUAAUUCAAACCAUCAGACAUCCUCAGAUCCCCCAUAUGGUCUCCUAGAAGCAAAACGUUUGUUCUUUGUUUCACGUACGCAUUCUCUUCUCCUUCCCCACCAUUGUCAACACCGAGGUUGUUUACAAGAUGGGGAGUCACAUAACGCAUGUGAGAGACGACGUUAGUUGGCCAAUUAUACAGAAAAUAAACUAAUUGUAACUUCUUUAGUUUUUGCAAGUUCAUUUACCAGCAACAAUACCAGUGGAAGUAUGGCGCGUUUCAUAUGCCACUGAUUCUUUUUUCUUUCCACUGGAAUAAAAAUAAAGAAGUUACAAUUAGUUUAUUUCCUGUAUAAAAAUGAAAUACUAAAGCAUGCAUAUGUAAGCAAUAAAAAUAAUUAAAGACAUAAUUGUGCAAAUAGUGAAAAGGAAGCGGUGGUUGGAAUCCUAAAAGAAGCAAUAUCAUGGAAAGAGUACAAGGACCAUAGAAAGUUAGAAACUAAACUAAAAAUUGUCGAUUAGAAUUUGAAAUAAAAAAUUAGCAAAAUAAAGUGAAGAAACAUUCAUUCAUCAUCAAAGCGUUACAGAAAAAAUCUUAACUAACUCGGUUCCCGCAAGGACUGAAAGCACACCAUCAUACCACUCAAGUUUCCCCCAACAGUCUCCUUUGUCUUUUUUAAGCGCUAUCACGGCACAAUAUAUGGUCUCCAUGUGAGACACAAGAAUAUUAGAUUUUCUACUCCAGAAAACCAGCAUCUUUCCAACACCAUAAGCCGUUAAUUUAACAUAAGAACCAUAACCAGAAAAACGACGAGGCAACUUAGGUAGUCCUACCAAACCCUUCAAAUCUCUCCACCUUGUCUUGUCGGUGUCAUACCAUCUCAGAGCUCCUUCUUUAGAAACAGAGUAGAGAACAUUAUCAAUCUCGCAGUAAGAUUCCGAAUACUUAAUUUCACCCACACUUGGAUCUAUUUCAACCAGCUGGUCCCAUUUACCUUGCUUUGAAUUGAAAGCAAACACCCAACCAAAUAUAUUAACCGCGUGGAGAUUUCCGUUAAAAUUAAAAAGGUGACUGGCUUGGUCCAAUACACAACAAGGGAUAUCCCAAGUUUGCGUAUUUGUGUUGAAUACCUGGAGCAAGCUCUUCCAGGAAGCAUAUUGAUGGUAGCGUCGUCCUAGUACAAAUAUAUUUCGAUCAAGGACAAUGGCAGAAAGUGACCCUAGCUCCAUUGGCAUGCUGGGAGCCUUACGCCACAUGUGAGACUUGCAAUCAAGAAUCGAGACACUAGAGGUGGGCGUGGUUUUAUCUGCUUGGCCAAUGUUGUAGAUAUCAGAACCAACAGCCACAAGAUCUGAAUAACCAAAACCCAAACCCGCCACACGAGGAGAAUCAUCACCGGGCAUUGGGACGCUAGCCAAAACAUAGCCGCCACUACUCUUACUCUUGGAGGAGAGGGUGUACCACUUAUAAGAACCCAUCCCGAACCUCAAGCACACAUAGAGACAACUCUCCGUGAGGCCCAAGACUGACCUGACCUUGUAAAGCUCAGGUGAAACCACCAUAGAUCGAAAGCUCUUGGAGACUAGUGACAGAGUCCGAUAGUACAAUAUUGGAACGCGUGCCACGAUCAUCACUAGCAAAUCGUCCGGAAGUGACAAAGAUGCCAAUAUCACAUCAUCGGAUGUGUAUGGAGUUGCCUUCUUCUUCUUCUUCUUCGCCCUAGUACUCGUAGUCGUUGUCUUCCUCUUCAAUACGAACUCUCCCUUGUUCAACCUCUCCAUCUCUUAGGUAAGGUAACAAGAAAUUGUAAUGAAACCGAUAGAUAGUACUCUUCUAAGUGCUAUAAAGCUCUGGUUGCAAUUGCAAAUAUAAUUCAAUCAUAAAGUGGUUUUUUACAAAGACCUAAGGUGUCUCUAUAUAUACUAAGCGACUAAAAGAUCCUAAUUCUAAUAUCUAAAGUAAUAAUCUCUAUAGGAUUUAUAAUUAUCUUUAUGAAAACAUAACUAUGAUAAAAGGAAAAUAGAAGCUACGCUGCAUUAAGGUGAAACAUACCUAUGAAAACCGUUUGGUUUUAUUUUGAAAACAUAACUAUGAUAAAAAAAAAAAAGGAAAAUAGAAGCUACGCUGCAUUAAGGUGAAACAUAACUACACUCUUUUCCAUCUAGUUACGCUCUUUUCCAUGUAGUAACGGUUUUUAUCAGUUUUAGAAGUUGAAACCAAAUAAUGGAGCAAUUAAUGCAAAAUCUAUAAAAAAAUAAAAAUACAUAACCUCAAAAAUAAAAUAAUAGACAAAUAUUUAAUAUAAAAUCAUAUAAGUUACUUAAGUGAUUUUUGAUUAGGUGUUAUUGUGAAUUUUAGAAUUAAUUUUCUUAAUUUUAUUGGUUGUUGGUAUUUGAAUUUUCAUUUAUUUAAUUAAAAUUUUAAAAAUAAUAUUAAUUCUAGAACUAUCUAAUCUACAUUACCGUACAAACAAUUAAAAAAGAUAUAAGAAUUACCCAAACCAUAUCCAAUUUCAAUUCGGUUAAGGCGGUUCCAGCUCCAGAGAAAAGAAAAAAGAAUAAAACACGAUUCCGAAUCCAAAUCUCCAUUUUCAAAGAGAGAGAAGAAGAAACAUCUCCAUUCUCCGAGAGAGAGAGAGAGAGAGAUCUGAGUCGUCUCCCAAUGCGAAGGAAACAAACGAUCUAGAAUCCGAGAGUGUAGUUAGAACAACAAAAAUGGCGUGGCAAAAGGAGAAGAUCGUCGGAAGCUGCUUCGCCGUCGGAGCCGCCUUCGCCGUCGGAGCUUCCUUCCUCCACCUCUUCCUCAAAGGCGAGCUCCCCUUAGGCUUAGGCCUAGGUCUACCCUUCGCUCCCUUCAGGAAACGAAAGCCAGUCCGCGUCUACAUGGACGGAUGCUUCGACAUGAUGCACUACGGCCACUGCAACGCGCUCCGGCAGGCGCGUGCUCUCGGCGACGAAUUGGUCGUCGGCGUCGUCAGCGACGAGGAGAUCAUAGCUAAUAAAGGACCUCCCGUUACGCCUCUUCACGAGAGGUGAUGAUGAUCUCUCUCUCUCUCUUUUGAUUCUUUGUUAUCGCUUUAUUGUGUUUGUUCUGAUUUUGUGUGUGUGUUAGGAUGAUAAUGGUGAAGGCUGUUAAGUGGGUGGAUGAGGUUAUUCCCGAUGCUCCUUACGCGAUCACGGAGGAGUUCAUGAAGAGGUUGUUUGAUGAGUAUCAGAUUGAUUACAUUAUCCAUGGGGAUGAUCCUUGCGUUCUUCCUGAUGGAACUGAUGCUUAUGCCUUGGCUAAGAAGGCUGGGAGGUAUAAGCAGAUCAAGCGUACUGAAGGAGUUUCCAGCACUGAUAUCGUUGGUAAAAACUUACAUCGUCCCUUGUUGUUUAGACGAAAGGUUUCGUUUUUUUUAAUGUGUUAAGGGGAGAUACGAGCUGCAUUUCAUGUUUAUGUUAUUAAGUGUUCUUGAUAGGUUUGACCAAUCACAUAAAGAUUAUAACUUUGUUCGAAUUUGUGCAGGUCGCAUGCUUCUCUGUGUAAGAGAGAGAUCGAACAGUCAGAGUCAUUCGUCUCUGCAGAGGCAGUUUAGCCAUGGCCAUAAUAGCCCAAGGUUUGAGGACGGAGCUUCUUCUGCUGGUGGUACUCGCGUCUCACAUUUUCUUCCUACUUCCCGCAGGAUCGUUCAGUUCUCCAAUGGCAAGGUGUGUGGAGUCUUAAAGAGUCUUCUUUUCUUUGUGUUUCUACCUGUUUAGCUUACUCAGGCAAAUAACUUAGAUCUUUGGAGUUUUGUAGAUCUAUAUUUUGCUUUAUGGUAUAGUGGGUUGAACAGGUGCAUGACUCUUGACUUCUAAUAGCUAUGCAAGUGGUUCUUGGCUCUCUUUUUCAGUUGUUUUAAUCAUUAAAGAGAAUGGAUAGCAUCUUUUUGAUAACAUUGUCUGGUUCUUGCUUUCUGAAACAUAAUUAGUUAAUCCUUUCUAUGACCAUUUAACCAAACAUUGGGUACUUCUUAUGUGUGUUAUCUAUAAUUUUCCUAUUGAGUGACACAAGGUUGCUUCACAUCUUAUUUUUAUCGCUUGUGUCAAUUUAUGUCCGCUAGAUUUUAAGAUAUUCCUCGAUUGAUUUAGUUUUCUCCAUAUCAUUUUGUAUAAUGGGUUAAUCAAACGUGCAUGCUUAUGGUGACAGGGGCCAGGGCCUGGUGCACGCAUAAUUUACAUAGAUGGUGCGUUUGAUCUUUUCCAUGCUGGCCAUGUUGAGGUAUAGUAAGUUAAAUUGUUGCAGACAAAAUAUUACUGAGCGACCCUCCGUUUUAAUUCACCAAUGUUGAUGAUACCUGUUCUUGAUUAUUCAAUACUUACAGAUUCUCAGGCGUGCUCGAGAGCUGGGAGACUUUCUUCUUGUUGGAAUACAUAAUGACCAGACUGUCAGGUUAGAAAAGGCUCAUCUUUAGCAGAUUGAUUGAUAGUGAUUGUCUCAGUUUUUGUUUCGUUUAUCUUUGUCUUUUCCUUUCCUGGCAAUUGUGAUGGUGGCUAAUCAAAUUUAAUUGGUAAUAUGAGUGUUGACCAAAAAAAUGGUGAUGUUAGUUUUAGGCAUAAAUAAAUACUUCUUGUCCCCAUUCUGGUUUAGAUUUGCAUAAUUGCAUCUCUGCUUAAAUUCGUUGGACCAGACCAAACUGUGCUUGUUAUACGUUGAUGUGCAGUGGUAAAAGAGGAGCGCAACACCCAAUCAUGAAUCUCCAUGAAAGAAGCUUAAGUGUUCUGGCAUGCCGCUAUGUAGAUGAGGUGAUAAUUGGUGCUCCAUGGGAAGUGUCAAAAGAUACGGUGAGAUUCUCUGCUCUUUACUUAACAACGCCCAAAUGGCUUUCGUGAAAAGCUAAUUUUGACAAUGAUUUGGAUAUUGCAGAUCACGACGUUUGACAUUUGGAAAGUGGUUCAUGGGACAGUAGCCGAGAGCGAUGAUUUUCAAAAGGUAAAACGAGAUUUAUACAAGGUAGAAUACAAAGAGCUGGAUUUGCUCAAGAUUCUUGUUGAAUGAUUUGACAGGAGGAAGGUAACCCGUAUGCUGUACCAAAAAGCAUGGGCAUAUUCGAAGUACUAGAAAGCCCUCUUGAUAUCUCAACCUCCACCAUAAUCAAGAGGAUUGUAGCAAACCAUGAAGCUUAUCAGGCAUGUUUAUCUUCUUCUUCUUCUUUUUUUUAUCGUUCCUCUUGUUGCUUCACUCUGGCCAAUGUCUCAGUCAAUGUCUUUGUGUGUGAAUACAGAAACGUAAUUUGAAAAAGGAAGCUAGUGAGAAGAAGUACUAUGAGCAGAAGUCUUUUGUGACCGGUGACUAAAUAGAAUGAGAAGCUAUAUAUUUUAGAAGACAAAAACCAUCUUCAGGAUGUGAAUCCCUUAUUUCUUUGUACUGGCUAUAGUACCUUACAUAUUACAUUUUGAAUUCUCUAGUUCAUACUUUACAUAGGGCAUUGAUGGUUGUAGUACCAUUUGCUUCUUUGUAUUUUCUUCAAUUUUGGGAUGUUUCAUUAUAUUUUUUUGACUUUCGC
rnacentral:lncRNA from 1 species